GUGGGGAAUCUUAGACAAUGGGCGCAAGCCUGAUCUAGCCAUGCCGCGUGAGCGAUGAGGGCCUUAGGGUUGUAAAGCUCUUUCGUGGGGGAAGAUAAUGACUGUACCCCAAGAAGAAGCCCCGGCUAACUCCGUGCCAGCAGCCGCGGUAAUACGGAGGGGGCUAGCGUUGUUCGGAAUUACUGGGCGUAAAGCGCACGUAGGCGGACUGGAAAGUCAGGGGUGAAAUCCCGGGGCUCAACCCCGGAACUGCCUUUGAAACUCCCAGUCUUGAGGUCGAGAGAGGUGGGUGGAAUUCCGAGUGUAGAGGUGAAAUUCGUAGAUAUUCGGAGGAACACCAGUGGCGAAGGCGGCCCACUGGCUCGAUACUGACGCUGAGGUGCGAAAGCGUGGGGAGCAAACAGGAUUAGAUACCCCUGUAGUCC
rnacentral:rRNA from 1 species